CACUAUCGUUAACUGAAUACAUAGGUUAACGAGGCGAACCGGGGGAACUGAAACAUCUAAGUACCCCGAGGAAAAGAAAUCAACCGAGAUUCCCCCAGUAGCGGCGAGCGAACGGGGAGCAGCCCAGAGUCUGAAUCAGCUUGUGUGUUAGUGGAACGGUCUGGAAAGUCCGACGGUACAGGGUGAUAGUCCCGUACACCAAAAUGCACAGGCUGUGAACUCGAAGAGUAGGGCGGGACACGUGGUAUCCUGUCUGAAUAUGGGGGGACCAUCCUCCAAGGCUAAAUACUCCUGACUGACCGAUAGUGAACCAGUACCGUGAGGGAAAGGCGAAAAGAACCCCGGCGAGGGGAGUGAAAAAGAACCUGAAACCGUGUACGUACAAGCAGUGGGAGCACCUUCGGGUGUGACUGCGUACCUUUUGUAUAAUGGGUCAGCGACUUAUAUUCUGUAGCAAGGUUAACCGUAUAGGGGAGCCGCAGGGAAACCGAGUCUUAACUGGGCGUUAAGUUGCAGGGUAUAGACCCGAAACCCGGUGAUCUAGCCAUGGGCAGGUUGAAGGUUGGGUAACACUAACUGGAGGACCGAACCGACUAAUGUUGAAAAAUUAGCGGAUGACUUGUGGCUGGGGGUGAAAGGCCAAUCAAACCGGGAGAUAGCUGGUUCUCCCCGAAAGCUAUUUAGGUAGCGCCUCGUGAAUUCAUCUUCGGGGGUAGAGCACUGUUUCGGCUAGGGGGUCAUCCCGACUUACCAACCCGAUGCAAACUACGAAUACCGAAGAAUGUUAUCACGGGAGACACACGGCGGGUGCUAACGUCCGUCGUGAAGAGGGAAACAACCCAGACCGCCAGCUAAGGUCCCAAAGUCAUGGUUAAGUGGGAAACGAUGUGGGAAGGCACAGACAGCCAGGAUGUUGGCUUAGAAGCAGCCAUCAUUUAAAGAAAGCGUAAUAGCUCACUGGUCGAGUCGGCCUGCGCGGAAGAUGUAACGGGGCUAAACCAUGCACCGAAGCUGCGGCAGCGACACUAUGUGUUGUUGGGUAGGGGAGCGUUCUGUAAGCCUGCGAAGGUGNNNNNNNNNNNNNNNNNNNNNNNNNNNNNNNNNNNNNNNNNNNNNNNNNNNNNNNNNNNNNNNNNNNNNNNNNNNNNNNNNNNNNNNNNNUGCUGGAGGUAUCAGAAGUGCGAAUGCUGACAUAAGUAACGAUAAAGCGGGUGAAAAGCCCGCUCGCCGGAAGACCAAGGGUUCCUGUCCAACGUUAAUCGGGGCAGGGUGAGUCGACCCCUAAGGCGAGGCCGAAAGGCGUAGUCGAUGGGAAACAGGUUAAUAUUCCUGUACUUGGUGUUACUGCGAAGGGGGGACGGAGAAGGCUAUGUUAGCCGGGCGACGGUUGUCCCGGUUUAAGCAUGUAGGCUGGUUGUCCAGGCAAAUCCGGAUAAUCAAGGCUGAGGUGUGAUGACGAGGCACUACGGUGCUGAAGUAACAAAUGCCCUGCUUCCAGGAAAAGCCUCUAAGCAUCAGGUAACAUCAAAUCGUACCCCAAACCGACACAGGUGGUCAGGUAGAGAAUACCAAGGCGCUUGAGAGAACUCGGGUGAAGGAACUAGGCAAAAUGGUGCCGUAACUUCGGGAGAAGGCACGCUGGUGUGUAGGUGAAGCCCCUGCGGGUGGAGCUGAGACCAGUCGAAGAUACCAGCUGGCUGCAACUGUUUAUUAAAAACACAGCACUGUGCAAACACGAAAGUGGACGUAUACGGUGUGACGCCUGCCCGGUGCCGGAAGGUUAAUUGAUGGGGUUAUCCGUAAGGAGAAGCUCUUGAUCGAAGCCCCGGUAAACGGCGGCCGUAACUAUAACGGUCCUAAGGUAGCGAAAUUCCUUGUCGGGUAAGUUCCGACCUGCACGAAUGGCGUAAUGAUGGCCAGGCUGUCUCCACCCGAGACUCAGUGAAAUUGAACUCGCUGUGAAGAUGCAGUGUACCCGCGGCAAGACGGAAAGACCCCGUGAACCUUUACUAUAGCUUGACACUGAACAUUGAGCCUUGAUGUGUAGGAUAGGUGGGAGGCUUUGAAGCGUGGACGCCAGUCUGCGUGGAGCCAACCUUGAAAUACCACCCUUUAAUGUUUGAUGUUCUAACGUUGGCCCCUUACCGGGGUUGCGGACAGUGUCUGGUGGGUAGUUUGACUGGGGCGGUCUCCUCCCAAAGCGUAACGGAGGAGCACGAAGGUUAGCUAAUCCUGGUCGGACAUCAGGAGGUUAGUGCAAUGGCAUAAGCUAGCUUGACUGCGAGCGUGACGGCGCGAGCAGGUGCGAAAGCAGGUCAUAGUGAUCCGGUGGUUCUGAAUGGAAGGGCCAUCGCUCAACGGAUAAAAGGUACUCCGGGGAUAACAGGCUGAUACCGCCCAAGAGUUCAUAUCGACGGCGGUGUUUGGCACCUCGAUGUCGGCUCAUCACAUCCUGGGGCUGAAGUAGGUCCCAAGGGUAUGGCUGUUCGCCAUUUAAAGUGGUACGCGAGCUGGGUUUAGAACGUCGUGAGACAGUUCGGUCCCUAUCUGCCGUGGGCGCUGGAGAAUUGAGGGGGGCUGCUCCUAGUACGAGAGGACCGGAGUGGACGCAUCACUGGUGUUCGGGUUGUCAUGCCAAUGGCACUGCCCGGUAGCUAAAUGCGGAAGAGAUAAGUGCUGAAAGCAUCUAAGCACGAAACUUGCCCCGAGAUGAGUUCUCCCUGAGACUUUAAGUCUCCUGAAGGAACGUUAAAGACGAUGACGUUGAUAGGCCGGGUGUGUAAGCGCAGCGAUGCGUUGAGCUAACCGGUACUAAUGAACCGUGAGGCUUAACCUU
rnacentral:rRNA from 1 species